rnacentral:rRNA from 1 species
UAAUACGUAGGGGGCAAGCGUUGUUCGGAAUUACUGGGCGUAAAGGGCGCGUAGGCGGCACAGCAAGUCGGGAGUGAAAGCCCGGGGCUCAACCCCGGAACUGCUUUCGAAACUGCUGAGCUAGAGUACAGAAGGGGCAACCGGAAUUCCCAGUGUAGCGGUGAAAUGCGUAGAUAUUGGGAAGAACACCUGAGGCGAAGGCGGGUUGCUGGGCUGAUACUGACGCUGAGGCGCGAAAGCCAGGGGAGCAAACGGGAUUAGAUACCCCGGUAGUCCUGGCCCUAAACGAUGGAUACUUGGUGUGUGGGGUUCUCUGAGUCCCCGCGUGCCGGAGCUAACGCGGUAAGUAUCCCGCCUGGGGAGUACGGUCGCAAGGCUG